AGUGUGGCGAGGGGAAGGUUCAGCAGGUGCGGGAGAGUUUAAGGCGAGGCAGUGAUGGUCGUGUUUGCGCUCUCAUUUCCUACACAGCAUCAUUUGGAAGGGAAGCCAGCAGCAGUGUUUUACAUUUUAAGAGCCUGCCCCGUCCCGUUCCUUCCCAGCACGCCUCCGCCCCUUGCCCCUCCGCCCCGCCCCGCCCCGCCUGCAGCCUGCCACACACCCCUACCACACCCCUGCCACCUCCCCAGCUUCUCCCCUUGCCCCAGAGAGGUAAUCUUCCCCUCACACCGCCACGACCCACCAUUAUGCUCCCAAA